CCUACGGGUGGCAGCAGUGGGGGAUAUUGCACAAUGGGGGGAACCCUGAUGCAGCGACGCCGCGUGGGUGAAGGAGCGUUUCGGCGCGUAAAGCCCUAUCGGCAGGGAAGAAGGAGGACGGUACCUGACUAAGAAGCCCCGGCUAACUACGUGCCAGCAGCCGCGGUAAUACGUAGGGGGCAAGCGUGAUCCGGAUUUACUGGGUGUAAAGGGGGCGCAGACGGCAGCGCAAGCCAGGAGUGAAAGCCCGGGGCCCAACCCCGGGACUGCUCUUGGAACUGCGCGGCUGGAGUGCAGGAGGGGCAGGCGGAAUUCCUGGUGUAGCGGUGAAAUCCGUAGAUAUCUGGAGGAACAUCAGUGGCGAAGGCGACUAUCUGGCACAUAACUGACGCUGAGGAGCGAAAGCGUGGGUAGCAAACAGGAUUAGAUACCCGAGUAGUC
rnacentral:rRNA from 1 species